CGGCCCCGCCCCGUCGUGAGCACCGCCCCUUUAACCCUUGCCUCGCCGGUGGCCGUAAGCCUUCGCAGGUUCCUUAGCAGCAGCGGCUGCUACCCACAGGUCGGAAAGUGAGGUCGGGUCAGCGAGACAACUCAGCCGUCCUGUAGCCUUUUUCAGUAGCCUCUUCCCGCCACUCCUCGGCUGUGCGCCUCCGCGCCCUCUCUCCUGGGUCCGUGCCCUAGGUGCCGCCGCUCCGCUCGUGGACCCCUCUCCCCGUUGCAGCCCAGGGUUCUGUGCCAGCGGACCAGACCCACGUCUCUCUAGACAAAGCUGGUGUCUCCUGCACAAGUCCGAGUACUAGAAAUGGGUCUGGAUAACCUGAGAACUCGGAAGAAGGUGAUGUCCUUUUAUGGCAGUUGCGGCAAGGAUCGUUCUAAAUACAGGAAUUUAGGAGAUGGGUGAGCGUCACCUCACCUGCCUUACAGAGGUCUGCAGAGCACCGGUGGGGAAGAAACCAAAUAUUACGUUGAAAGCUGCAGCCAUUCGGCAAAGGGAAGUGCCACCAUAAGAUGCUCAGCUCUGGGAAGGCAAGGACCUUGGCCAUCUUGUUCAUCAUAGAACCAGAACUAAUGGGUACCACAGUGUCUAUCAUAUGGCAUGAAAAUGCUGGCCUACAAAGCUCACCUCUAAAACAUCUGAAAACAGGAGACCCGUGGAAAAGAACUCCAAGGAUGCCAAAGAGGAAAAGGCAUAUAGGAGAAAGUGGGUAGAGCAGAAUGGGUAUGAUCAUGUGGACUGAGAGGAGGGGAGGGCAGUCGAGGUGGGAAGCAAAGGCCCUGAGGUAGGACUGCCAGGGACGGAUCUGAGAACUUAAGGUUCUACUGAGCAGUUUAGAGAGCUUGAGAAUUAAAAUGAGUGUUUUCCAUGUGAGGUGGUACACAAUUAAAUCCCCAGCACUCAGGAGGCUAAGGCAAGGAAGAGUACAAGUUUGAAAACGCUCAACCUGGACAUCUUAGUGACUCAAUGAGACUCUGUCUCAAGAUAAAAAGAAAUAAAAUGUAGCUUAGUGCAAAAGUCCUAGGUUCAAAACCCGGUACCACAAAAGUAAAUAAAAUAAAAAGGCAUCAUCUUCUCUAGGGACUGGGAGUCCUAAGCAAACACAAAGGGACACGUAUCCUAUUUACUCUUUAGCUCUGGCAUGAAAGCCUCCUCAGGUGCUGCUCCAUUUCUCCAGCCAUCCAGGGUCAGAUCUAGACCCUAAAAUGGUGGGACUCAGCAUUGCAGGCUGUCCAAGGCCCGAGCCCACCAAUGUGGGGUCUCCAAGGCAGGAGGAAGGGCUGAAAUUUGGGGGAAGGCAGGAGCUGGAGGCGCAGCCAUUCCCACAGGCACAGAGCCACCCGAAGUUUCAACACUUCCUCCGGAAAUUCUCUCAUCUUCAAAAAGCUCCUAGCUUCCCUCUGAACUUUUGCUAGCCCGAGAUAGCCUGCCGAUUUCUGACUUUGGGAGGCCUGCUUCUUGCAGUUCCUUUUCUACGGCUGCUGGGAUUCAGAUUCUAGAAAACCUGUCUAAGUCUACUGGCAGCAUGGGAAAAUGGAAUUUUAAAAGUUGGAUUUUUUUUCUUUAAAAAUCAAGCAGUUUCUCCUUUUAGAUAAGCAGCCUUGGCUUUGCCAAACUUCCUGCUGCUGAGUAAAUAACCAACACCCGCUCCUCUCCUCAGCCCAGAUGAAGUGGCAGACUAUGCAAAUAGUGACCAAGGAGGUCAGGGCCCAGUUUCCUUUCCACAGGAAAGGGAGAGCAGGAAGAUUACUGAGAGCAAUAAAGCAAGCUUGGAGAUGUGCACUGUCUCGCUGAAUCCCCCCUCUCUCUGCUCCUAAAUAUAAACAACCCUUGCACAUCUGCUGUGAGGCACAAGAGGCCCUUCCACCUCCUUGGGGCCAGUUUUGAGUAAAUCCUUUUUCCUUUUUUAUUUUCUUAAACCAAAAUAAGUGAUUUCCUUUGUUUGAUGAGCAUCAAGCAAAUGAUCCUGAGCGCAUGGAGCAUCAUGGUCAGUAAUACGUCUUGGGGACCUGAGUGUAGGUAGGGGCAGGGGUGGGGUCUGUCAGGGGUGCUGGGCAUGUGACAGGUGGAUUCGCUGAGUCCCAGUAGGUCAUCACCUUACAGGAUAGAUCAGGUGCCUGGUACCCCACUGGAGAAGCCCUACGGGAGCCCUGUCUUUCCAAAUGUACUUUUACUGUAAAAGGAAGGAAAGCCAUCAACACUACUUUUCAUUCUAAAAAAAGAGCACUUCUGAUGCCUCCUUUGUUCCCCAAAGAUCACAGCAGAUAAAUAGAGCAAGUGUCUUGGUUUAACAACCUCCUCAUAAAAGAGGGAGCCUCUGAUGCAAUAUUUUUCUAGGUCAGGCAACCUGAAAAAGUUCAUAGUUGCUGAAGGAGGUGGAUGCUUUUUCUCUUGGCUCACAGCUGUCUCUCCACUGGCCAGGCGUUCCCAAAGGGAGUUGCCUUUCUUGAUCUCCAUGGGGGCAACUGCCCUAUCUAAAACUGGGAGCCUCUGCAUGAGGCUUCAUACGCAUGUUUUGCGCGUGCGUGCGUGUGUGUGUGUGUGUGUGUGUGUGUGUGUGUGUGUGUGCUGCAUGUCCCCCUCCAUCCCCUGCUCCAUCUGGACAAGGAUCUCAGAGCCUGGUACCUGGUCUGGAAAUAUUUACCAGUUGAGCAAAUGACUGAACAGCCUUAAUCGAGAGUCUCUUCCGCAGAUACUAGAGCUGAGCACUCAGUUCUUGAGCUCCUGUCUCUGAUACUGCAGCUCAGGGGCCAGCUCUGUCCUGCUGAUGUCUGACUGUGAAGUGGCACCACCCCUGCCCGCUGAGCACUUGGUCCUUGGGGGCUUGACUGUGCCACUGAGGUCUCUCGUGUCAGCCCCCACUCACAUGUGAGUCUGGGGACAGUGGAGUGUGUUUUCAGGAAGUCUCUCAUGCCUCAGGUGGAGGCACAUUUAAAUUGGGCACUUUGCCUUUUGUUUUUUCCUCUUUUCCAUAUUUUUGUUCUCCUACCCUGUAGUGAGUCACCAGAAAUCUUCCCUAGACUGUGACUUCCUUGCUGCUGGGGAGAGAAAGACUUUCACUUUCCUAUCUGUGCCUUUCACAACAAGCUUGUCUUUCCCAAUUUCUCAUAUUUCCCCCUCUGUUUCCCAAACCUAUUGCUCUUAGCAUCAGAGAUCCUGCCUUCAAAUGCAUUCCUUCUUUGAAACUUGUAUUAAAAGGAAACAGAAAGUUCCAUCAAUGUGACAUAAUUUUUUUAAAAAAUACCCAAAUGCUGGUAUUCAAUGACGUAUUUAUUUAUUGAGUUUUUAUUGUUUACAUUGUAUGUAUUUUUAUUUUUUGCAAUGCUAGAGAUAGAACACGGAGGCUCCUGCAUGUUAGAAAUCAUCCUAUCUCAGUCAUAUCCCAGCUCUUUAUUUUUAUUUUUAAAGAUUACAUUUGUAGCCUGGGGAUUUUGCUCAGCUGCCUACCACCUACCUGACCAGUGUUGAGGUCCUGAGUUCGAUCCCUAGUACCAAAAAAAAAAAAAAAGUUACAUUUGCAUAAUUUGGCCUUCAAAAGGCACAAAAGAACAAACAAUGGCAAAUCCCUCCUCCCACAGCUGAGCCCAGCCCCCUUCCCCAGGUGAUCCUGCUUCCUUUCUGCACUUAGCCCUGCUGGGGGCUUUUUGCACAGACUUUCAGUAGCGUGCUACUGCUACUGUGCCAGCUUUUCUUUCCAUUUAGCCAUGAUUCCUGGCAUCUGUCUGAGUAGAAUCUGGUCAUUUUACAGGAGGGGAAAUGGAGGCCCAGAAAAAUCUAGAACUCAGUCUUGCCUCACAGUGCAGGGCUCAUUCUUAAUGCAGGAGAGUGAAAUGGGAAUUCAUAGGGAUAAACUCACUCAGAUGUCUGCUUUAAAAAGCUCAUUUGCUGAAUGAAAAAGAGCUCAGACUAAGAUUUAUAUAUUUGUUUGCCUUAGGUGCAGUUGUCUUCUCAGGAGGAGAGGAAGUGGCACUUCCUAAGUGUACCCUGAGAAACGCAUCCCGUGCCCAGGGUCAUCUGGGAGUCUGCUACGCCCCUUGCCUGUGGCUGCCUUCCAGCCCCACUGGGCAGGUCUAAUGAGCCUCUUCUAGCUGUGUGGCCCUCUGUGUGCUCCUCUGAGCUUCCAGGUCCGCCCUCUCUAAGGAGCUCUCUGCUUAACCUGCUGAGAUUUGCUGUAUCUUCUCCUAGGUUCCUUCAAUGCAUAUUUGAAACCACCCUUUCCUUGCUCCCCUACUUCCUCCUUAUGCCUGGAAGUUGUCUUUGAUUAAUGGGGCGCCUGUGAUGUCCCAAGUCUGUGCCAAAUUCUUCUCUUGCAUUGAUGUCUCAAGGCUGAAAGAUGGAGAAAUUUGAACCCAUUUUACAGAUAAGGAAACUGAUGCUUAGAGAGGUUAAAACAAUCAUCAUCGGUGCACAGAUCACUGGUAAUAGGGGAAGCACUCCAAUUUAGUUCUGGUAGCUGCAGACCUAUUGUGAUUCACUGUCUCCUUGGGCCUUGAUAUUAAUGUAGGAGCUCAAACAACCUUGUAUUCAUUGCAGAUAGAAGCUUGGCUCAGAGAGGGAAAGCCCAAAUGUACGCAGCCACUGGCGUUGAGUGAAAACUAAAACAUUCCUUUUGUAUAUUUGUCACCUGCUGAAUGCUAGGACCUACUUGAAGAUGAACAGAACAGCAAACAAUAGUUUGCUCCCAGGUUGCUAGACAUCAUCUGUACAACAGUUUGAAUAAACCGCCAGACCUAACCUA